CUCUGCGAGCAGAUGUUUUACAUUAAGGGAAGACAUAUUUCCUGUGUUUACCUUGGUUUCUCUUUGUUUGUUUGACCUGUCUCUGAACAGGUCAUUCUGAGCACUGACUUCAAGUUCAACUGCCCUGUUUACCUAAGCUCAACUUGUCAAUAUAGAAAAAAGAGAGUGAUCAGAAGGGCUCUUCAGGGUGCAAAAGCAAAAAGAGACAUUGUGAGUGGCUGGAAUAACGACUCCACGUAGACAGCAAUACAACAGUCUGUGAAAAACCAAUGUCAUCAGCUAUACUUCAUCGUCAUACAUGGUUUCUGAUAUUUUAAAUCUCACAAAUGUGACGCAGGAAAUUCUUUCUAGUAUUUGGAACCAAGGGUAUAAAACCGUCACAGAAAGAUUUACACUUUAGAAUGAUGAUACACUUCAUUCCAGGAAGAAUUCUAUCUUUUGGGAGUGUCCUGGUUGAAGCAUGAUUUAGUCCUAAAUUUAAAAAGGAGAGGGCAUGAUUCUUUCACACAGCAGCGUCUCCCCCUCCUGCUGCAGCUUCUCAGAGAGCUGACCGCUCGGUUGCUUGUCGGGACGCCUCUCCUGGGUUCCUGGACGUAAAGGCACCAAUCUGGGUCCCAACCCCUCACUGUCCCAUCGCCCUUUUCUUCCGAAGCCCUCAUCACCACCUGAAUUUCGAUCACGCAGGCUGCUUGUUGACAUAGCUGUUGCCUGCACGUCGCACUCACUGAGCUCCAGGAAGCCGGAGGGGGGGAGGCUUGCUUUGCUCACUGCUGUCCUCACAGCGGCUAGGGCACAGCCUGGCACACUUCGGGCACAGCCUGGCACACUUCAGGAACAGCCUGGCACACUUCGGGCAUCGGAAAUGACUGAACGAGCCAGACCACAGCUUCCAUUCCUCGGGGUCAUGCCUCGGGUCGAGGUGCCUCAGGAGGAAACUCUGAGAUGAAGACGUGCGGGCCGGCAUGCUAGAAGUACCUGUCUUUGAUCUCUUACUGAGCUCCCUAAACUAACACACCAUGCCCAGCAGCGAUGUUUCCAGCUGGGCUGCCCUCAGGAUGGGGCGCUCCCAUUCCACCAGCCCCCGAAUUCCAGACUGUGCUACACGAACUGUGGAGAAAGCGGUGAGGCUCCCCUGCCAGCCGGAAGGCGACAUCGGAACUUCCCUGUUUUGCACGUGGCCGCCAUCACCACCGGACUUUCCCGUCCUUCAUCUGCACGCCGCCAACGUUAAAAAGAACCAGCGAACUUCAUUGGCCAGACGAGGACCCAUGGCGAGCACCUAUUGGACAACGGCACCCACCCUGGGCUGACUCCCCUGGCCUCUGUUGAGACCACGGACCUCAGCCGAGAGCUUUUGGCAGAAUAAAUCAUGCUGGUUUU